GAUGAAGAACGCAGCGAAAUGCGAUAAGUAAUGCGGAUUGCAGAAUCCGUGAGUCAUCGAAUCUUUGAACGCACAUUGCGCCCCUUGGUUAUUCCGAAGGGCAUGCCUGUUCGAGCGUCAUUAUCACCCCUCAAGCCCUGGCUUGGUGUUGGACUUUAGUUAUAGCUUUGCCUAUCAACUGGUCUCAAAGAUAGUGACGGCGCCCCAGAGGGAACCGGGUACGAGGAGCUUUUUACUAAGCAUGUAUCUGGGACGACUCUGGGCGACGGUCUUGUUAUACUUUUUACCUAAGUGUUGACCUCGGAUCAGGUAGGAAUACCCGCUGAACUUAAGCAUAUCAAUAAGCGGAGGA
rnacentral:misc_RNA from 1 species